UGAGCUGUAUUGGCUACGAGAAUAUCUUGGGUUAUAAGGAAGACCAGAAGCCAAAGGUAUAGGGGAUGCUGUGCGAGGAAAGGAAAGGCGGAGUCAAACUCUCACUAAUAAGGUAUUGUAUUGAAGCCGGGAGCAGAAGAGUCUAGGGUUCAUACAAGGUUGAAAGCUCAGUAGUAAGGCUCGGUGGACUAAUGAAGUAGGGCUUGU
rnacentral:lncRNA from 1 species